GAGCCUCCAGUCCGUGAGCUGCGCGGGGUCUGGGCGGGGCCGGAGCGCGCGGGAAGCCCCGGCAGGGCUGCGGAGCAGCUUCGGUGCUGCGCAAUGGCUGUCUCGGUGCCCGGCUACUCGCCUAGCUUCAAGAGGCCACCUGAGAUCGUGCGGCUCCGCCGGAAAAGGUCUCGGGACCACGGUGCCGCCGUGCCCUCUGCACUGCCGGAGCCCGCGCCCCGCCGCGCCGCGCUGGCCGCUGGGCUGCCCUUGCGCCCCUUCCCGACCGCGGGCGGCCGAGGAGGCGCAGCCGCGACCAUCGCCCGCAGGAACCCUUUCGCCCGCCUGGACAACCGGCCGCGAGUCGCUGACGAGGCCCGCGAAGAGCCGCUCCGCGGUCCUCAGGGAGCGCCGGGCCCGCUUCUAGAUUCUAAUGAAGAAAAUAACUUGCUGUGGGAGGAGGCGUCAUCUCAGGAAAGAACUGGCACGGAACUGUCCCAGAGUCAACGUGUAUCGUCGUCUGAAUCAGACACUUGGUCUUCAGAUGAGUUACCUGUGGACUGGAGUGUUAAAACCCGGCUCCUCUUCACCUCUUCUCAGCCCUUCUUCUGGGCAGAGCAUUUGAAAGCACAGGAAGAAGCCCAAGGACUUGUCCAGCAUUGUAGGGCAACACAAGUUACUUUACCCCAGAGUUUACAGGAUCCCAAACUGUCCACUGCGCUGCGCUGUGCCUUCCAGCAGGCUCUGGUCUACUGGCUUCACCCUGCCUUUUCAUGGCUGCCACUCUUCCCUCGAAUUGGAGCUGAUAGGAAAAUGGCUGCAAAGACAAGUCCAUGGUCAGCUGAUGAAACUCUACAACAUGCUUUAAUGAGUGACUGGUCCGUGAGUUUCACGUCUCUGUAUAACCUGCUGAAGACAAAGCUUUGUCCCUAUUUCUAUGUCUGCUCCUAUCAAUUCACUGUCCUGUUCCGGGCAGCAGGACUGGCGGGAAGUAGUGUGGUGACAGCGCUCAUAUCCCCUACAACAAGAGGCUUAAGAGAAGCGAUGAGAAAUGAAGGUAUUGAAUUUUCUCUGCCCUUACUAGAAGAAAGUGGCCAUAAGAAGAAAGUUCGAGAACCAAGCCUGGAAUAUGAGGAGGAGCAGGCAGGCAGUGACGAAGAUGAAGAGGAAAGUUUUUCUUGGCUGGAAGAGAUAGGCGUGCAAGACCAAAUUAAGAAGCCAGACGUGAUCUCUAUCAAGCUACGUAAAGAAAAACAGGAAGUACAAAUGGAUCACCGACCUGAGUCUGUCGUACUGGUGAAAGGACUCAACACCUUCAAACUGCUCAAUUUUUUGAUCAACUGCAAGAGUUUGGUUGCUCCCUCAGGUGCACAGGCAGGUCUCCCACCCACUCUCUUAUCCCCAGUAGCCUUCCGAGGAGCCUCAAUGCAAAUGCUUAAGGCACGAAGCAUUAAUGUGAAGACACAAGCUCUUUCAGGAUACAGAGAUAAGUUUAGUUUGGAGAUCACAGGUCCUGUCAUGCCUCAUGCUUUGCAUUCUAUGACCAUGCUGCUCCGGUCUUCACAGAGAGGGUCAUUCUCUGCUGGAUUGUAUGCACAUGAGCCAACUGCCGUAUUCAAUAUUGGCAUGUCACUGGAUAAAGAGCUGGAUAGAAAAGUUGCUCAUAAGGACCUUGCUAACUGUGGGCUGCACCCUAAAACCCUGGAGCAGCUCAGUCAAAUGCCAGUGCUGGGGAAGUCAUCCUUACGGAAUGUGGAAAUGAGUGACUACAUUUUAAAUUGGAGAUCCUGAAUACCAAAGUACAUAUUCGUCCAACUAUUUCUUAAGGGGAAAACCAGGCAAGCACAAUGAGGAUGUAUGGUGCCUUAUCUUAAUCUGUUAAUAAGAGAAUCGCAGGUCAUGCUUCUGCUAUGAAACUGUUAUGGUAUUAAAUGUCCAAGGCAACCAAAACUUUAUCUUUGAGAAAUUGAGCACACCCAUGAAUAACACUCAUUCCAGUUCUACAAACAGUAAGUACCCUUCACUUCGCCAGUCUCUGGGGCAGUUACAAGAACCUGUCUCUAGCCCCUUGACACUUGGGAGACACAAAUUCCAAGGAAUUACUUGCCCAGGAUCAUACAAGGAGUCAGGAGUACAGCAGGACAAAGAAACCUUCCCAAUCCAAGAGACCACGCAGCCUCCCAGUUUCCUGAAACAAAUUUCCCAUCACCCGUCCAACCAAACCACAGCCCUUCAGCAGACGUUGUUUCUUCAGAAAACCCCUUUCUAACCACCUAAGACUCCCCCAACAAUGAGGUAGCCGUAGGUGGAGUUGACAAAUCUCACUGCAGGGAUCUGAGACCAGGUGCACCUACAUCUUCGCAGCAUGAGAUGUCCGUCCUCUCCCUUGAUUUUAGGUCUUACAUAUCCUGUUUUUUCAUGAAGUCAGUGGUUCUCAAAUUGAGCCUGUGGAUCACCAGAGGCCACCAGGACCUAAAUGGUGGUCCACAGAUAGUUAUCUCCAGCCCAUCCCACCCUGUUACCACCCCCUUCACAACUACCCACCCCACAUUCAAGCCACCCUCCCCCCCACCCAGCCUCUCAGUCCCAUGACAAGGUUACCACAUGCAGCACUAAUUAGGGCCUCCCAACCACUUGCUGAAUCUAAUAGCUGACCACCACAUAGGGACCUGGGGCUAGACGUCAUAAGAGGCAGGAGCAAAGGCAUUUAUAAGCGGGUGCAGGCACUAUGAGAGGACAAGGACAGGAAUGGAAUAUUAGGGUGGCAAAGGGUUCUUGGGGAUAGUGAUCCACCAAAACUAAACCUGUAAUAAAGUAUCCCAUGAUGAGAACUGUUGAGAAGCACUGCUCUGAAAUGAUUAGGUUAGUAGUCCAACAGGAACUGCGGAAUAUUCUGAACAGCAUCUGCUACAGUUAGCAUUCAAAGAGUUAAGGAAACCCCCCCACCAAAACCAACAGCAAAAAAUAUUAAACAACCACCUCCAGAUAUAAAGUUAUACAUUGGCAUUGAGUGUGUCAGGAUCUCAGCCCAGUGGUCUUCAGUGUCCAUCCUGGAGUACACACACAGUAGACUUACUCAGGAACUUGGGUUAGUCACCUGCCUCUGCACUUCUAAUGUGUUAUUAUAAAACAAACAAACAAAACAACUUAGCUUUGUAUUUUUUGACAGUUUGUGUACCUUUUUAAUCCAGGCUUGGGCACCAGUAUUAGCCAGCUGUUCCUGUGUCAGGACUUGCACUCCCGUACUUCCUGUGAACUGCCCAGGGAUAGAGUUCAACUGAGCCCAGGCAUCAAUCUGAGGAAAAAGAAGCCAUCUUCAGUAAAAUUAUUGAUCUGAUCAAAGUGCCACACUGGUAACAGUUUAAUUCACUGAGGAAAAAAGGAUUUGGUACCUAAAAUGGCCAAAUAAUGAUAUUUUUAAAGUUUGAAGUUUUUUCUAAGUCUUCCAAAUAAGUUUUAUAGCAUUCCAUGAAAUAUACUAAUGCAUCUCUAACUAAAAAUUAUCAGUGUAACACUCUUUCUUUAAAAUAACAGAUAGAUGGAAAAAUGCUCUUAUGGCCAAAACUCUGUCUUUACCACCUGACCUAUCAUACAUAGGCAUUCAAAUAAAUGCCAAGACAGUCUAGACCUCUGGCUACUCCUAUAGGAUAAUGAUCUAUACCAUCUAUGACAUAAUAUAGAAAAUGAUCAACAGAAAACUAUUUUUAAAAAAGUAGACAUCGCUCACCAACACCCAGUGUAUAAUACAAUCAAGGGCCAUUCAUACUGUAUUUAAUGCAUACCUAGUAUUGCAAGUUUGCUGAAACAUGGAAAGUAAUAGUUAUACCUCUUAGAGUUAUGGGCACUCUAUGUGCACCUAAGACUGUAAAUUCUAGCCAUAGUAUGUAAUUAGCAUUUUCUUAGUGAUUAGGUCAAGUCAUUUUGUAAGUUACUAUGAACAAAGUGUAACAAGUAUAAAAUAUAAAACAGCACAUAUAAACUUUUGAGUCUCCAGUCCCUGCUAACACACCCUGACUCAGGCAUCUAGUUAGUGAAAUUCUCAUUUAAACAUUAAAAAAAGCCACAUACCCGUUCUUGAGCUCGGUUUAACAUACUCAUGGCUUCAAGAUCAAAUGCAUUCUCACUGAGUCUCUUCUGAGCAAGUGCCCGUUCACUCAUUGCUGUUGAAAUGUCCACAGGCUAAGAAAGAAAACAUAGAUAAUUAUCCCACAUUACCACAAUCCCUAUACUCUCAGGAGCUUCUAUAUCUUUAGAUGCUACAUGUAAAAAAUAAACAAAUAGUCUAUAUAUUAAGAUUCUUGGAAAAUGAGAAGAUUCAAAAGACAAAGGGGGCACGCCUGGAAAAUAGAAGACAUUUAAGAUUCACACAUAUCUGGUGAAAGUUCUGUAGUCACUCCUUACUGAGGAUGCUCCUGGCUGGUUUCUGGGAAGACGAUGCUAUGACAGAAGGAUCUGACGAGUUGUUUUCCAUAACAUGGAUUUACGCAGUUUCGUCCGUGUCUAUCCGCUCACAUCAGCACACCCACGUGCAAGACAGUUGUGUGAUUAGGAAUUACAAGGACAACUUAGCCCUUGUGAAGAUAAAAUUCUGUCAUCUUUGCUGAAAUGUUUUAUGAUCAAGACUGAAGAACCAUAAACUUCAAUUAUACUUAUUAAAACAAAGAAAAGAUUGAUUUUUAAAAACUACCUUAUCAUUUAAAAGAUUGUUACUCAAAAAACAAACAAAAAAAACCUCAUUUGAAGCCCUAUUAUAAAGUCAGAAGGGUCACUGUUCCCAAAACAUGUCAACCUAGGUACUCACUGGUUCUACAAAGUGGCACACUUAGAUGGUAACUAAGUAGAACUGUCAGCUUGUCUUUGGCGCCUUUAACACUGUUACAAAAAUACAGAUUUGAAAGCAAAUCAGUCUUGUCCCUUUGUUCUUAAAAACUUCAGGAUUCUGCAGUUAAUUUCCAUACUCCACGUCUAAAUCUCCGCAUGAUUAGCUCAGAGCUCACCCUGCACUCCUCUUCCAAGGACGACAUCAUGCUUUUUAUUCAUCUGAGCAGGGGACAGCUUUCCUUCACUCAGUGUUGCCAUCCUCUCUGAACACUGCCUCUUAAUGAGAACCUAACUUCUGAUGGGAAAUAAGGCUGAAGCAUCACUUAGUGUUGAGAAUGAAGAUGGCAGUCAUAAAUUAUAAUAAUACCUUUUCUUGAUAAAAAAGUAUAAUUAACAUGUACUAAUAAGCACUUUCCCCAUGAUUCAACAGUUAUUGAUAAUUUUCUCAGGAAAAUCUGUAAGAAUUCUACAACAUUUCUAAGUCUUUGCUACACAGGAGAUUCUUGCCUGGCUAUGCUCUUUCCAACUGUUUAAAUGCUAAAUCUGUACUGAAUUACUUACUAAAAGCGCAUAUAUCAGGACAUCUAAAUCUGUAUAGCCCUCACCUGGUUUAUAUCUGGCUACUACAAGAAGCUUAAGUUAGCUGUAAAUGUCAGUUAGCUUUCCCUCCUGAGCUGUGGCAGUAGCCGGAUUUGGGGAUUAGUAAAUGAGCAGUAAACUUGUAAAGUACUGUCUAAA